CUUGUCAGGACAACAGUCUGCAGAUUCUCUCCUCACUGCCUGCUGACUCGGUUGCUUGUUCUGCAUUGCUUCCUUCAGAAAGUCUAGUGACACAGGCGCCCCUCUCAGCAAAGAAGACUUCAGUCUGACCCUUGUUCUCUGAGCAGACAAUGUAACUCCAUGGAAGACUCAUCCCCACGACAUAUGAAGGCAAAAACUUCGUCAGUUUGUUUUGGCAGGCCUGGCCUCAGAACUUUUCCAAAACAAAAUUAAUAAAUCACAUUCUUUUUAAAAAGAAAAAUGCAACCUAAAAUAAUGCAUUUUUCUCUACAGCAGUAGCCUGAUGUAAGCGUGAUGCUUUCUAUGCUAGAUGACAUGUGGGCUUUAUUAUGGAGAAGAAAUGGAUUAUUUCAGCUCAUUUUGUUUUGUUUGGUAACAAGUAUAGUGAGAUGUAAAUCUAAAAACCACACAGUUCACUCAGACUUGGUUUCAUAUACAAGUUUCUCAAUUUCUAUAGGGCUCAGUCUUCUUGUCAAUAGAAUGGGUAUAAUAACAAGUACAAUCUUUUGUUUUACUGUGUAAAUUAAAUAGUUAUGCUCAAUCUAUUCAAAAGACAAAUAAAUAAAAGCAGUAUAUAUCAAAACAGUAAGUUUUCUAUUUUUACACACUCACCUUUGUCACUGAGUUUUAUAAUAAUCAGAGCUCUGCUUCUGAUUUCCCAUUUUAACAGACUAGAAAUCUUAAUCCUGCCAAUUUAUGGUAUUUUCAGAUACAAAUUUAGCUCAGUUGAGGACCUCAUUAAUCUCUUCUGAUUAAAAUCUGUCAGUGAAAGACUUUCUUCUUUCCCCUGUCUUGCAAUGGACUCGUGUUCACAGGAGAGCCUGUAAUAUGGAGAUGAACACUGCCAGAGCACAGCCUCCUCUCUGGUCUCCCGAAAUGAGCAGUGCGAGGGGCUGGGGACUCCAGGGCACGCGCUUGCUGCACUUCUGAUGCCCUCCUAAAUGUUCAAGAGCACUGUCAUUUAAUACACAAGAAUGAGAAAAACAACCUGACAUCUGGAAACUGGCCUGACACUUCCAACUUGAUUUCGCUGUCACCGGAAACCAACCUGGCACUUAGAGAUGGGCCGCAAUCUUCUCCUGUUUGCUGUAAACAAUUCUGCAAAAUGUCAGCAUUAUCCAAGGUCACUGUGUUGAUCAUGAUGAAUCAAGAUAUCAAUAAGACCACUCUGUGUAUCAUUCCAAACACAGACAAAAUAUGAACAUUGUCCAAAUCACAAAAAUGACUAAGCAUCUCCCCACUUAAGUGCUAAUCUGAAAGACUGUUACUUAUUUACUAAGUAUAGCUAUAGCCUUCUUUCUAGGUUAGACUUAUUUAUAUACCCAAUCUUAGAAUUUCAUUUCCUUUUCCUGACAGCAUCUAUUAUAGACAAAAGUCCUGUUUUUCUGCACUUCCCCAAAUCACCUACCACAAACCCAAAUCCUGUUAAGCCUUUUCUAAUUCCUCUUAAGAGAAUUCCCUAAGGCUUCCAAUAGUGUGCACUGCCGUCCUCUGAGACAAGUAAUAACCUGACAGACAUGCUCCUAGUGAUCUUUGGCGGAGAGGCACUGAUAUGCAUAAUUUGAUUUGAAAAUAUCAUGAUUUUCUAGUGUUACAUACUAUUUAUACUGGUUUCUUUAUAUAAAUAGAUGAAAAUUUUAGUGUAGAAUUUAUCCUUUUCCUUACUUGUACAUUUUUAUAAAAGAUCACCAUCACAACAAAAACGCCACCAGAGGUGUUUUGUGUCACCAAAACCACAGUAGUCAGAAGCAUCAAAUGAUAAGAAAACUAUAAAAUAAAGGAGUGAUAGUAAGCAUAUAAGGCAGACAAGACUUGCAGAUAACCAAUUGCCCAUUGAAUUGGAUAACAGUGUAAUUUCUCAAGUGUUCACAAUAUGCCAGGCACUUCUGAUAGCCAAUUAUAUAAAAUAUGGACAUCUAUCUAACUAUAUUGCAAAGUGUUUUAAUUUCCAUUCAAUAAAUGAGAAAAUCUGAGGUUUCUAAAGUUUACUUACCUAUUUGGCAGAAGUGUCCCAUCUAAGAAUAGUACUGCUAGCACUCAAACUCGAGCUGUUAAGUAAGGUUCAUGUGUUUCUACAGCAGAAACAGAAAUCAUAUGGAUAUUUCUGAAUAAAACCAAAUGCCCUUUUUUUCUAAGUAUGAGGUCUUUAACAUUGGGGUUAUUCAUAAGAAUAGAGUGGCAUCUAUUCGGCAGUACUGAAAGAAGGGAGAACUACCAUAAAGGAUGUUUCAAGAAAUUCUCUCUUUCUACUUAAGGCUAACGGCCUCCUCAUAUGGUUAAUGAUUUCUUUCCUUUCUACUAGAAAAUCUAGGAAUCAGUAAAAUGAGAAUACAAGCAAUUACACAAAAAAUAAAUUUCCUAAACAGUAAAUUCCACAUGAAAUAAAUGCCUCAUUUACUUUUGAUUGAUAAAAUUAAAGAAAUGAGAGGAGUUUCUUAGAUGGAAGAAAUUCCUUUUAAUAUGUGCAAUGUAAGUAUAUAAUUAAAUGUUAUUAGCACUAAUCAUUUUGCAUUAGAAUAAGUUUUUAAAAGCUCAGGUACUUUCUACUCUUUCAAACAGCCACCUGCUUGUUAUGUAAAAGACUGGAACCACCCUCUCAUCAAAACUGGAGAACAAAGCAAGUGUCUGGAUCAGCUCUGACAUGGAGAAGAUUGACUUUUGCAAACAGAGCAAGGAAAGUAGCAUGGCUAAUAUUCGAACACUGCUUAGCUUUGUGUGGAGAAGACUAAGAAAGAAGCAUAAUUACUCCACCUGAGACAAUAGAAUUUUUAGUAGUUUAAGGAACUGCCAGUGGCUCUGAGUGAUCAGGGUAGAAAGAAGAAAAUGGGAAUUCACAGUGCACCACGUUGGCUGUCAGUGACAGAAGUCUAACUUGCUGGAUUAGGCAAAAACCAAGUUUCAUUGAGAUGGAAUCAUGAAAAGGGUAGGAGCAAUUCAGUUAUUAGGAAAACAUGGUUAUACAUGGAGUUGAGUAACUAAAUCAGUACCUAAAACACAGGACCAUUGAUUAAACACUGGCUGAAUAAAAGAAAGAGUGAACUAGAAACCAUAAUUUUACUAAGACUUUUUCUUUCAGCUUCAGUCUUCUUAGAGAUUCAUGCUGUCUGUCUGGGAAAAAAACACAGCUAUGACUAUUAACAAGGUUUACCUGUAUAAAUAGCUUCUGCUGCCAAAAAGGACUAAUGUUAACUCCUCAGUCACAGGUGGAAAAAUCCCAAGGAAAGACUGAACCACGUGGGGUCAGGUAGUCUGAUUUACUGUGGCCAGCAUGGCGAAGUCAUAGAAAAAUAUCAAAACACCCAAUUAGCCACAUGAACUUGGGAGAAAUGUGGAAGCAUGUGAGGGAAGGAAGAAUCCAUUACCUGAGAGUGAUGUCAUCAGUCUGCAAAGAGGGAUAUCAUUAUAGGUGGUCCUCGGAAACAUUUUUCUGUGUUUUUAUUAGUUCACUACAACUGCCUUAUCAAGUUAUCCACAGACUCAGUUUAAACCACAGAAUAUAGAAACUUGAAGUCCAAGGUUAGGGUAUCAACAAAGUUGGCUUCUGAGGUCUCUUACUGGUUUCUUCUUGUCUUCAACAUAGUUUUGCCUCUGUGCCUGUGUCCUAAUUGCGUCUUGUAAGGACACAAGUCAUAUUGGAUUAGAGUGAUCUCAUUUUAACUCAAUAACCACUUUCAGGACCCUAAGCAUAAUAAUCACAUUUUGAGGCACUGGAGGUUGGGGCUUCAUCCUCUGAGUUUAGGGCAGGUUAAAGGAGCACAGUUCAGUCAAUAACAAUCUCCUAGAAUAUCACCAAGGAUUUUCAUUGUAUAAAAGCUUUAUAAGCUGAUAUUUUUUACUAGGUACCAGAAAAAUUUAGGUGGUUUCUUUUUAGAUUAUGGUCAUUGUGGUUUGCCCAAAUAUCAUGUUUCCCCUUCUUUCUGGCUCUUAUAAGGUUUAUUUGCAAAAGUGAAACCAUUCGGAAGAAGUGUAUAGGACUUCAUGCUGUGAAAUUCUGUGAGGUCCUGUUUUAUAGCUGUAUUUUAUGUUAGUAACUUGUGUUUCUAUUUUUCUUUCUGUAAUUUGUGUCAUCUUAAUGUAUGCUGUAGGUUUCUCUGUACUUUGUACACAUCCUUUAUACAAUAAAGGGGAGUAUUGAUGU